UUCAGGACAGUUAAAAGAGCAGG
rnacentral:piRNA from 1 species